rnacentral:rRNA from 1 species
UGCCUACGGGGGGCAGCAGUGAGGAAUAUUGGUCAAUGGCCGAGAGGCUGAACCAGCCAAGUCGCGUGAGGGAUGACGGCCCUACGGGUUGUAAACCUCUUUUGUCGGGGAGCAAGACCCGCCUCGUGCAGGCGGAGCGAGAGUACCCGAAGAAAAAGCAUCGGCUAACUACGUGCCAGCAGCCGCGGUAAUACGUAGGUGGCAAGCGUUAUCCGGAUUUAUUGGGCGUAAAGGGAACGCAGGCGGUCUUUUAAGUCUGAUGUGAAAGCCUUCGGCUUAACCGGAGUAGUGCAUUGGAAACUGGG